UCUCCUGUUCAACAGUUAACCAUGUGGACACAGUUAAUCAUCGCUAUAAUUUGCAAACGCGAUGUUGCCACUUCGUGCAGCGCCGCGCGAUGAAUGACGGAAUAGCCCCUCUCCCCCGUCCCCAGUUUGCCGCGAGCUAGCGUGCGCGCCGGUUGUGUGAAGAACGAUUUUGUGUUUUUUUAAUGAAGACACGUGAAAAACAACAUGGGGCGUAGUAAGCAACCAGAACGAAAGAAAGGAGGCCAUUCCGCAGAUGACAUGAAGAAGGCUAUAGAAUGUGGGGGAAGUAGUACUGGAUGGGAACUUUGAACCAAUACCUCGAGAUCCAAAGGAAAAUUAAUUCGUGCUAGUCUUAUUUCCAUUGAAGAAAACCUUUGUCUAUUACGUGGCAAAAAUUUUAGAAAAAAUCGAUGACAACGAUGAUGAUUCCGAUUUCUUUGUAAGCUUUUUGAGGCUUAAAAAUAAGACGCACCAAACAUUUUGCGAGCCUUUGGUACCUGACAAUGCGGGUAUUCGAGUACGGGAUAUUAAAUAUAUAUUGCCUGAUCCAAAAAUUAUGGGCAGCAGCCGCAGGCAAAUGUCCUUUUCAUUUGAUCCAUUUAGUUUCAUUAUAAUCUUCUUAUUAAUUAUUGGCACGUAAUCAGUCUCAAAUCAGUGUUUAAAAUACUAAUAAGCCUCAUAUUUAAAAUAAUUGGCCUUUAUAAACUUAUUAAUCAACAAACAUAUAGCACUGACAGCUAAAGAGAUCCAAAUAGUUUCAUUAUAAUCUAACUACUAAUUAUUUAUUGGCACAAAGUCAGUCUCAAAUCAGUGUCAUAGAAAAAAGUCUUACUUACGGACGGACUAGACCUUAAGAAUCAACAAAACAUAGUAUUGCAGGCUACUUCAACCUAAAUCUUUAACGCAAAUUCAAUUUCGACAUAUGAAAGUGAACUUUGUGCCAAUAAAUAAUUAGUAGUUAGAUUAUAAUGAAACUAUUUGGAUCUCUUUAGCUGUCAGUGCUAUAUGUUUGUUGAUUAAUAGGUUUAUAAAGGCCAAUUAUUAUAAAUAUGAGGCUUAUUAGUAUUUUAAAACACUGAUUUGAGACUGAUUACGUGCCAAUAAUUAAUAAGAAGAUUAUAAUGAAACUAAAUGGAUCUCCAUAGUCGUAUGUCCCAUUAAGCGUAUAAGUUAGUUCUAAUUUUAUAUUUAAGAAGUCAAAACUCACUCAUAUUGAUAUAAUUAUAAUAAAAAACGCUUUUGAUAUCAUUAAUGUUUCAAAACUUUAAGUUAAAUUGUUGAAUUCAUAAACACUUUAUUUUGUUCCUAACUAACGUAAGAAGAUUAUGUUUUUUUGUUGAUUUUGUCGAAUGUACCCUUUAUUUCAAAAUAAAAGCCAAA